AUCUGGGCGGCGGAAUUCAGGAUGGCUGGCGUGCUCUCGCGGCGCGUCGGUCGUUUGAUAUUUCCGUCGCCAACUAACGCAGACGUCGCGACCUGUUUGCGGUCGGUCCCUGCUCGGAGGAGCCGUGUUCGAGUUCGUUGUGUGCGCGCUUCUGGCGCGUCACACGGCGAAGACGCGGAUCUCUGGCUGGCCGUCGGACAGUAUGCUUAACGGUGUCCGAUGUCGUCGUCUCGUACGCGCGGCUUCGGUACCGGUCAGCGACGAAUUCUUCGGGCCUCUUUCCGACCCGUCUUGAAACACGGACCAAGGAGUCUAACAUGCGCGCGAGUCGCGGGGUAUCGAGCGUACUUCGGUGCGUUCGUUAUGUUGCGAAACCCGUACAUGUCGAAGGCGUAAUGAAAGUGAAUGGGGAAGAUGGUGUUCCGAGUUCACGUUCCGCGAUCAUCGGUAUCGCGGCCGGACACCCGCAUUCCCAGGGCGUCUCAACGGCCCGUCGCUGAUGCGGAUAGUCGUCUUUCGGGGCGGCUAUCGGUCGGCGACGAACCGA
rnacentral:rRNA from 1 species